rnacentral:rRNA from 1 species
GGCUGAAACUCGCCUACAUGAAGCUGGAGUUGCUGUAAUCGCGAAUCAGCAUGUCGCGGUGAAUACGUUCCCGGGCCUUGUACACACCGCCCGUCACACCAUGAGAGUUGGCAAUACCCAACGUACGUGAUCUAACCCGCAAGGGAGGAAGCGUCCUAAGGUAGGGUCAGCGAUUGGGGUGAAGUCGUAACAAGGUAAC